rnacentral:rRNA from 1 species
CAGCAGCCGCCGCGGUAAUACGUAGGGUGCAAGCGUUAAUCGGAAUUACUGGGCGUAAAGCGUGCGCAGGCGGUUAUAUAAGACAGAUGUGAAAUCCCCGGGCUCAACCUGGGAACUGCAUUUGUGACUGUAUAGCUAGAGUACGGCAGAGGGGGAUGGAAUUCCGCGUGUAGCAGUGAAAUGCGUAGAUAUGCGGAGGAACACCGAUGGCGAAGGCAAUCCCCUGGGCCUGUACUGACGCUCAUGCACGAAAGCGUGGGGAGCAAACAGGAUUAGAUACCCCUGUAGUCCCUGUCUCUUAUAC